GUGCCAGCCGCCGCGGUAAUACGGAGGAUGCGAGCGUUAUCCGGAUUUAUUGGGUUUAAAGGGUGCGUAGGCGGAUCAAUAAGUCAGUGGUGAAAACCUGCAGCUUAACUGUAGACUUGCCGUUGAUACUGUUGGUCUUGAGUGUGGUCAAGGUAGGCGGAAUGUGUAAUGUAGCGGUGAAAUGCUUAGAUAUUACACAGAACACCGAUUGCGAAGGCAGCUUGCUGGACCAUUACUGACGCUGAUGCACGAAAGCGUGGGGAUCGAACAGGAUUAGAUACCCCCGUAGUCC
rnacentral:rRNA from 1 species